GUGAGCGAACCGGCUUCGUCCUCUCGGAGGACGCGGUCGGCUGCGUUCGUCGGGUCGGAGCGUCGGAAGGCGUUCUGCCGUCGGUUCUCGGCCGUCACGCCUUUCUUCCUUUGUUCUUAUCAGGGCGCAUCCCCGAGCGUCGGAAACAGAGCAGCAACGGCAGGAGAUACGCACGGGUAAACGAGGAGGUCGGGGAUCAUCGCAAAGAGGAGAAAGGAGGUUAAAGCGUUUUCAGUAUUUGCUUUGGGGGGGUAAGUUGACGGCUAAGGGAAGCUUUGGAGUUUGCUUUCAGCAAAUGAGAGGCUAGGGAACGAGUGCACGUGUCGUUCUCGAGAUCCCCGCUUUGUAAAAUAGGGGACGGGAGAAGGCAGAGGCUCUGAUGGCCUUCGGUCUUGGCAGCGACUGCCGAAGCUUCGUUUCUGGGGAGUAUGAGAAGGAAGAGUCCUGGAGGAAGGACGGCUUCCUCUCACGUGUGUAGGAGCCGGUGAGACUUAGUGUAGGUGAAAGGAGUGUCGAUGUUUGCGUUCGUGAGGUAGGAAAAGGCCUCAGAGAUGUUCAUGCGCAACUGCAGCUUAAGUGUAGUACUCUAACAAGGCUCCAGUCCAUCUCAUUUUUGAGCACCGCAUCGAAAGGGCUUGUAAACGGAUGCCGGGACGCGGAGUCAACGCCUCUCUGGGGAGCCUAUUCCAGUGUUUAACUAUCGUUUAUCUGGUGUUUUGUUUUGUAGCUUAAAGGCACCUCGUGGCAAGCGGAGGCCUUUUUGUGUCGUAUUGUCAGCAGUGAGAAGAGAGUAGUCAGUAGUCCUGUCCUUAUGUCAAGGCAGGCGAGGACGGAAGGAUAGCGCGAGUCAGCGCGACCUACAGCGAGGGAGUGAAGGAGAGGCCGCACAAGAGCAGGCCGGUAGGUGUCACCUUUUAUUGUCGGCACGGUGUCGGGAUAGCGUGCCGGGGUUGUGAUUUGUGGUAUGUGAUUAGUGUGCGGCUGUGAGUAGGGGCAGAUCCCGGUGGGUUCCGCCAGGGGAAAGGAUGCCGGACGGUGUGCAGAACCUCGGGUGUCUUUUUGCGGGUUAGACGAGGGAAGGGUGUAGGUUGUGUUGGGGUGGACUAUGUCAGCUGUUCGUAAAUGUCUAAGUGUGGGAGUUUGGUCGAUGGGGUCGGGCUCGUUAGUCCGCUGCUUGCGGUAGAAGGGGGCUCACGUUUUCAGAGGAGUUCAGCGGCUACGGUGUUUGAAGCGUAGGAGGAAUGAUGUAAUGGGCUUAUUAGAGUAGUUGGGGAGUGUCUUUGUCUGGGGUCGUUGAAGUAACGUUUGUAUGGUUUGAUUCCAGGUCGAGCACAGUAGCGGAGCGUUCUGCAGCGGAGACGGGCGGGCACCGCGGCCCGGCUGUCGCGGCAUCCCCUCAUUGGAAGAGGUUCGAGCGGUCGGAGGAGCGGAGUCGGCACGGAGACGAUGCGUCGGCGUGGAGUCGGGAAUGAGAUGGACUGAGGAGGAGCUGAGUUCUGUAUCCUGAUGAAGAAAAAGACUUUGCUUUAAUACAAGCAACAAGAAACAUCUCUUUACAGUGACUCAAACUCUAUGCCUUAAGGGGUUUAGAGGAACUUCCCAGAAAAAAAGGUAACAAGAAGUUGACAUAUGUACAAUAAAUAUAUUUAGACAUACCACAGCCAUUACUUCUCAGUAAAACUUAGUUAAAAAACCAAGAACAAACUUUAAAUACUAUGUAUUUAACUAUGUACACGAUGUAUCACACAGACUUAAUUCAGUCAGAGUAAAACGGCCAACAGUGGUGUCAGU